UAAACCACAAAAUUCGUUUCAUCCAUCCAGACGCUCCACCUUUCUCUACAAACCCUAACCCUAACCUUCAUUUCAUCCACCGCUACUCCACCGCUCCUCCAUCGAACCGGUCGUCGCCAUAACCGUCUUCUCCCCUUCUCCACUCCAACAGUCGCUUCAUGGCUUCUUUCCCGGUGGCUUCAAGAUCCGACACUAUCUCAGCAGAUCCGACACCAUAUCGAUCUCUAUGGCUUCUUUCCCGGUGGCUUCAAGAUCCGACACUAUCUCAGUAGAUCCAACACCAGAUCUACUGGUUUGACUAUCUUCCGUUUGGUUGUGGGUUCGUCAACGAUGGUGCUUGUGGGUGGAAGAUCUGGCCAUUAUAAACCAUCUUCUCCGAGAUCGGCUGCUGCUUAUGUUAAUCUCAUCGUCUUCUGUUCAGAUCUGGUUUUAAUACCGAUCUGCGUGGAAGGAUGUGCGAACCGAGAUCUAGGGUUAGAUCUGGCGAAAGGUUUGGAUGAUUCUGGAUUUGUUAUUGUGUUAGGAGAUGUCAUGUUCCUCAAGCCUGAACAGGGCUAUGAGGUUUUGAAGAGAGUUGUUGAUGUGAUUGGGCAAUAUAAUAGAAAAAAGCUUGAGCAAUUAAGCGGGCUGGAAAAAAGUUACUGGUUAUUACGAACUCGGAUUACAUAUAUACAGACAAGAUGAUGAGGCAUUCCGAUAAUAGAUUUGUUUGAGAUGGUUAUUUUCUCAGCUAGGAAGCUUGGAUUCUUUCAAAUGUCACAUCCUCUAUAUGACGUGGUUGCAAUUUGUUUGCUACAGGAAGGUCUCAAAAGAAUAAUUGAAUCAGAUUCUAAUCUCAAUGCUGAACCUUUUCUACAUUCUUGUGGAAAUCAGAAGCAUGAAGCUUUUGUGUGGUUGCAAUUGAUGAGAAAAAGAUCCAUAUGAAGAUGGAGUGGUGUAGAUACACGAGCCAUGGAGGUUACGGUACCGAGGAAGAUGACAAAACUUUGUAGAUCUGAUUAUUCUAGCUACAUUCAUGUGUUUUACAUUCAGAACUGAUGGGAGAAUCCUUCUGGUGGUGUAUUGCUACCAUCAACAGCAGAGUCAAAACCUCAAAGGUGGAUCUAAGUGUCAAGGUGAUGCUUCCUCUAUAUCAAGCUCUAAUGCUCCAAGGCAGGACAGUUCGGCAGCAACCUCCACGUCAAUGUCUCACCAUCUAUUUUCCGUCUCGAUCCUUCUUCAUUCGCGACGGUUUCGCUCAGAAUGGCUUCCAGUCAACAGGUCAAUUAAAAAAGGCUACAUUUGUUUGGGUCGAAACGGGUCGAUUAUUGAAUGUUAUUUUGGUCCAUUAACUUUGGUUAAAACAAAACUGAGGUGGUGUUUGGUUUAGGGAUUAAGAACGGAGGAAUGAGAAUGAACGUUCAGGUUCUUCUGGUUAGAAUGAACUGGCAUAAAAGGCGGGGGAUUCACUGGACCCCGAUACCUGCCCAUUUUGCCACCUCUACCCAUGGAUAACAGACAUCAGUUUUAGGAUUCAUUCACACACCCAACGCAUAAAUCAAACACCAGUUUUCAUGUAAUCGUACCUAUUUCUAUUUCAGCCUGACAUCAGAUGAUCAAACCCAUACCCAUAGUGAUUUUCAACCAAAAACGGAACGCCACCUGAAAAUUAGAUGACAUGGAUUACCAGUCUACAGCAGCAAAGAAACUCUUUUCAUCUUUGCUACAUGCAAAUUGUUGGAUGUUCAAAUGGGACAAAGUUUGAUGUUACAAAUGUUGGAUUAAGGGUAGUUUUGUCAAUUUACAUAUUUCAACUGUUAUGUGAAUUCCAUGUAUAAUUGGCUGAAAUAUAAUUAAGAGUUAUGUUUUAAGUGUACACACACAUAAUUGUAAUUUUUUGCACACAUUAAUGCACUUUCAAUUUUCUAUUA